rnacentral:siRNA from 1 species
UCAUCACACCAAUGAGUGCCACA